UACGUAGGGUGCGAGCGUUAAUCGGAAUUACUGGGCGUAAAGCGUGCGCAGGCGGUUUUGUAAGCCAGAUGUGAAAGCCCCGGGCUUAACCUGGGAAUGGCAUUUGGGACUGCAAGGCUUGAGUGCGGCAGAGGAGACUGGAAUCCCGGUGUAGCAGUGAAAUGCGUAGAUAUCGGGAGGAAUACCGAUGGCGAAGGCAGGUCUCUGGGCUGACACUGACGCUCAUGCACGAAAGCGUGGGGAGCAAACAGGA
rnacentral:rRNA from 1 species